rnacentral:rRNA from 1 species
UGCCAGCCGCCGCGGUAAUACGAAGGGGGCGAGCGUUGUCCGGAUUUAUUGGGUUUAAAGGGUCCGCAGGCGGUCAAUUAAGUCAGAGGUGAAAGCCCAUCGCUCAACGAUGGAACUGCCUUUGAUACUGGUUGACUUGAGUUAUACGGAAGUAGAUAGAAUAAGUAGUGUAGCGGUGAAAUGCAUAGAUAUUACUUAGAAUACCGGUUGCGAAGGCAGUCUACUACGUAUAUACUGACGCUGAGGGACGAAAGCGUGGGGAGCGGACAGGAUUAGAUA